AGAGUUUGAUCUGGCUCAGGAUGAACGCUAGCGGCAGGCCUAAUACAUGCAAGUCGAACGGUGAUAUUUAUAUCAUAGUGGCGCACGGGUGCGUAACACGUAUGCAACCUACCUAUUAUUGGGGGAUAGCCUUUGGAAACGGAGAUUAAUACCGCAUAAUACGAUUAACUGGCAUCGGUUGAUUGUUAAAGCAUUUGCGAUAAUAGAUGGGCAUGCGUCCAAUUAGUUAGUUGGUGUGGUAAUGGCUCACCAAGGCGAUGAUUGGUAGGGGAUCUGAGAGGAUAAUCCCCCACACUGGCACUGAGAUACGGGCCAGACUCCUACGGGAGGCAGCAGUAGGGAAUAUUGGGCAAUGGGCGGAAGCCUGACCCAGCCAUGCCGCGUGCAGGAAGACGGCGUUAUGCGUUGUAAACUGCUUUUUUAUAGGAAGAAGGAUCCCUUGCGAGGGAAGGUGACGGUACUAUAAGAAUAAGCACCGGCUAACUCCGUGCCAGCAGCCGCGGUAAUACGGAGGGUGCAAGCGUUGUCCGGAUUUAUUGGGUUUAAAGGGUGCGUAGGCGGUUUAUUAAGUCAGUGGUGAAAGACGGUCGCU
rnacentral:rRNA from 1 species